rnacentral:lncRNA from 1 species
UUCGUUCUCUCAUCAGACGCAAUCGGAUGAUCACGAUUAAAUGUGAUGAACGGUUUAGAUUCGUUCUCUCUUUAAACGUGAUCGUUAGAUCGAGAUAAAAUCGCGAUGAAUGGUCCAGAUUUAUUUUUUUUAAACGCGAUCGGAUGGUCGAGAUCAAACGCGAUGAACGACCCAGAUUUAAGGUAGACGAGUAUAAAUAUCUCAUUUCAUACCGAACCUAAACCCUAGCCGCCAACCCCCCUGUUGGAUAAGAAGAACCAAUCGCAGGAGAAGAGAGUCAACCGCCGCUUGUUACCACGCUGGAGCCACCUCCGAUUGCCCAAAAAGGUAAAAAUUCUCAUAUUCAUUCGUAAUUUGAUUUUGAACACCCCCAUAACUAACUCAGAGCAAAAAGAACGGAGGAUGAGCUGAAAACUGCGGGUAAAGUCCGGUGGUGCCGCAGCAAGAAAUAUAAAAAAUCGUCUCCAAU